ensembl:snoRNA
AGAUUUGGUUUGAUAGACCUGGAUCAGUUAUUGUCUUCUGUUAAGGCUUCUACUAUAGAUUCAAGGAAAAGGCUUCCUCAUGCUUUCUGUCUGUCUGAUUGUGGCAGCCAAGAUUGAAUGGGGGAAUACAGGA